CUGGAUACAUAAAAUCUCUUGUUAAAUAUAACAUCAUAAUGAGCAAUUAAAUAACAGGCAUUUAUUUGAUUAUCAUUUUUACCUAUGCCCACGUUUUGUCAAUGACAAUUUAUUUAUUACAUUUUGAAGAAUAAUUAAUUAUCUUUUAAUCUUUCUUCAAAAUACUUGAAAACACUAAAUCUAAAUAAAUAAAUAGAAAAAAUAAAAUAAAUUAUUGGCCUCUUAACUAAUUUGAUUCGCAUAUUUGAGGAAAAAUUAACAUACCUGAUAAUUUUUCCUUCAAAAUACAUGAAAACAUCUAAUUUAAAUAAAACAAAAAUGUGUCCCUAUUACACAGAUGCCUCAAUCGCAUUAUCAUUUUCUGUGUUUAGUGCACUGUAAAAUUGGCGUAAAUAUUGAGCAUUAUAAUUAAAAAGAUCAUAUUAUAGGGAACAUAUGUUCUAACAGACGAACGAACAAAGGGACAUACAGAUAAAAAAGCAUAACACCCCUAAGUGAGGCAUUGUAAAAUAAAUAAUUGGCCUCUAGACCAGCUAUUGGCUACUGUGAAACAAUUGUACAUAUAACUGUUGUUUGAGGACAAAAUUUCACAGAUCCCUAAUGACAAAAUUUCAGGCUGGCUUAAAUUUUUUGAAACUCUUCCCUUACCCAUAAAAUUUAAAUAAAAUAAUGCUUUUUACAUUUAGAAAAUUAAAUUAAUACCUAUCACAAGCGAUAUGUUUUUGUGCAGUACAUUCUACUCCCUUUUCAACAUUACAAAGAUAAAUACCUGAUCGACUUUCAAAGAGGACAAAUACACUUCAUUAUGAAUCUCAUAGUUUUCAUGAUAAGUAUUACAUGAUACAUACACAUCAUUUUGUAAUAUAAAUAUCUGAGUACCUAUAUAAUAUUUGACAAUACACAUACUGUGGAUUCAUUAUGGUUUGUUUGAUGUCAAUUUUCGUGGAUUUAGUGGCUACAGGUAAACCAUGAAAUUAGAUGUUCAACAAAUGAAAAAUUUUCUUUAGGCUUUUAUGCAAACAUCGGCAAAACCAUGAAAUUAAAUAUCCACAAACAUACAAGUUUUCCUUUAUCAACGAAAAUUGGUACCCACGAAAAUAAAUGAAUCCACAGUACACAUCAUUUUUGUUUCUUGAAUAUUUUGAAUAUAUUGCAUAGAAGAAUGUCCUUAAAUGUACCCAAAAAGACAUUUUAUCCAUUUUAACUUAUUUCUUAAAAUAAACAUAUGGUAGCAAAAUAUCUUAUUAGGUACAACCUUGGCAUUCAUCUAAAUAUUCAUGACUAGAUUUACUUGCAAUCAAUAAGUAAUAAUAUAUUAUACUUUUUGAUCUUCAAAUUCAAGGAUUCAAACACUAGCUUCACCCUACAGUAUUCUUGCAUGGUAUUACACUAGCUUCACCCUACAGUAUUCUUGCAUGGUAUUUUAAAUGAAGAAUGAGCCAUUCUAAAUUAAAAAAAAAAAUCUAUUUAGCUUUUAUCUGGUAACUGGCAGUGAUACAAGAAAAUUUAAAUAAUUAAAUUCCAACAAUAAAGGUUGAUAAAAAAAAGCAGUAUUAUUGGCCGUACCUGAGAACACAUCUAUUCAGCACAAAGCUACUGAAAAAGUUUAACAACUGACAUUAAAUCAAGAUUUUGUAAGACAACUGUAAACACUACAUAUAUAUGGAUUAAUUUAACAGGAUUAACAAUAACAGAGUUAAUGACAUCAAGGACAGGAUUUGUUGUUAAAAAAAUUGUACGGGUUUUACUGAACCCAGUGUCUCGACUACUUUGGCAAGUUUGGUAGAAGUCCAGGAUAGUUUAAGAACGUUAUUGAAAAUUUAAAAACUUUCACCACAGAGUGAAUGUAAUGUUAACUGGCAAAAAAUCUACCUGUAAGUCCAUUUAGAAGAAAUAUACUGAAAAACAAGAUUUUUUUUUUACAAAAAUCUACGUCUUGAUACAAUUUAAGGAUCAUAAACAAGCUUCUGUCCAAGUUUGGUAGAAGUCCGGGAUAGUUUAAGAAAGUUAUUAAAAUUUCAAAAACAUUAACCACAGAGUGAAUGUAAUGUGGUAGAAAACUAAGUCCAUUUAUAAGUAAAAUACAGAUGAACAGGAAUUUUUCUUUACAAAAUUUACUUUUGGAAAUUAUUAUAUGAUCAUCAAUAAGCUUCUGUCCAAGUUUGGUAGAAAUCCAGGAUAGUUUAAGAAAGUUAUUAAAAUUCAAAACUUUUAAACAUAGAGUGAAAAUUUGUGGAAGCCUCUGCGAGGACAGACAUAGGUUGCUAUUUCUCAUUUUUGCGACAAAAUUUGCAGGCUGGACAAUAAAAAUACAAACAGACAGUAUUUGUACUUGGUGCUGAAUUUCAUACUAAUUUUUGGUUUAUUGCUUUGUACAUAAAUCGGGCUGUUAGUUUUCUCUGUGACUUGUUUUACAUAUGACAUUUCAAGACUUUAUGCGGUAUUUUUGAAAUAACCACGUUGAUCUAUUUAUUUCUAUGAUUACAAAGUGCUUUGUAGUUUUAAAGAAAAGGAUCAUAUAAAGUUUGAACGCUCACAAGCCAGGUGGGUUAAUUGGAACAUUUUACAAAUAUUAAUUUCAAACAACAAAACUCCAAGAUGAUUUCGAAAAGGUUUGGUUUUACCUUAAUUACUGUUUA
rnacentral:lncRNA from 1 species